AUUGAACGCUGGCGGCAGGCCUAACACAUGCAAGUCGAACGAGUGGCGGACGGGUGAGUAAUGUCUGGGAAACUGCCUGAUGGAGGGGGAUAACUACUGGAAACGGUAGCUAAUACCGCAUACCAUCGGAUUGGCCCAGAUUGGAUUAGCUAGUCGGUGGGGUAACGGCUCACCAAGGCGACGCUCCCUAGCUGGUCUGAGAGGAUGACCAGCCACACUGGAACUGAGACACGGUCCAGACUCCUACGGGAGGCAGCAGUGGGGAAUAUUGCACAAGGGGCGCAAGCCUGAUGCAGCCAUGCCGCGUGUAUGAAGAAGGCUUUCGGGUUGUAAAGUACUUUUAUUGAGGAGGCGUUACUCGCAGAAGAAGCACCGGCUAACUCCGUGCCAGCAGCCGCGGUAAUUC
rnacentral:rRNA from 1 species